rnacentral:lncRNA from 1 species
UUCAAAAUGAAGAUAGGAUACUUUUAUUUAUCAUUAUAAAUGGUCACAACAAACCAUGAAUUAGUCUUUGUUGUUGGUCUCAAGGACUUUUUGUCCAUGAUAAGAUGUUGGACAGUAGCAAGUACGUGUGCUUAUGUCACAUAGUGGAGCCCCAAGUUCGCAUUUUAAGUAGGUAAUACAGUCAUCAUCUUUAUUGCACGAAAGCCCAUUGCUUCCUUGUCCUGAUUACACCAUUAACAUUGUUGACUGAGUUUAUAUUUUAAAAACAGCAACUAGAAUUAUCAUAAUCAAUGUAUUGAAAAGGGAUAAGAAUUGUUCAUAAGUGGAACAUAAAAGAGAGUUGGAUUAAUACCAUAAUUAUACCUCUUUGUAACUUAAUUGUUAUCUUGGCAAUUUAUUUAUCGGGAAGAAAAGGCUGCAUCAUAAUUUCGUGUCUGUUCAUCCCAAAUGUUGACUUUGAUCCUUUCUUAUGUUUUUCAUUUUUCAAGUAUUUUAUUUUAUUCUCUAAUACACAUUUAAUUGACUGAGAACCGUAUGUGUUACCCAUCUUUGCAAGUCAUGAUUCAUAUUUUAACCCCACAGAAAGAAUCUUUUAUAAGAAAAGAGUCCUAGUACUCAAAAUGCCCGAAUGAGUUGUUGCAAUCUUAAAACGAACAAUAAACUAUAUUUGAAGUAUGAAAAAUAUUUAAUAAUUAUUAAACAUGAAAAGGUGCUAUAGCCUGCACCUUUUAGGGAAACAAAAAAGAUGCUACCACCUCAAAAUUUCUCAACAAAUUGUGACUAUAGCCUGCACGUAGAAUAUGAAUUACUGAGUAAUAUAGGUAAAUAGAUUAAAAAAAUGCUUACCUAACAAAACAAGCAAAAAAGAAACCAAGAAAAUCUUUAGGAACGUUGCCUUCUCCAUUCUCUUCCAAGUGCAGUAGUAGUACAAGAAUAACUAUAUGAUUUAAU